GAUCAUGGCUCAGAACGAACGCUGGCGGCGCGUCUUAAGCAUGCAAGUCGAACGGCAAGAGGUAGCAAUACCUCCUAGAGUGGCGGACUGGUGAGUAACACGUGGGUGACAUACCCUUCAGAUGGGGAUAGCUAUUAGAAAUAGUGGAUAAUACCGAAUACGCUCAUGACCCUGUGGGGAUAUGAGGAAAACAGGCUACGGCCUGGCUCGAGGAUGGGCCCGCGUCCCAUUAGCUAGUUGGUGAGGUAACGGCCCACCAAGGCGACGAUGGGUAUCCGGCCUGAGAGGGUGUACGGACACAUUGGGACUGAGAUACGGCCCAAACUCCUACGGGAGGCAGCAGCUAAGAAUAUUCCGCAAUGGACGAAAGUCUGACGGAGCGACGCCGCGUGGAUGAAAAGAAGGCCGGAAGGUUGUAAAAUCCUUUUGCUGAUGAAGAAUAAGUGUGGUAGGGAAUGACCGCAUGAUGACAUUAGUCGGUGAAUAAGCCCCGGCUAACUACGUGCCAGCCGCAGC
rnacentral:rRNA from 1 species